GUUUGCUACCUGAUGGACGUCAGGCCACUAAUAAUUUUUCCAUUUUGCCCAUAAAGGACUAAGACCAUUGCAGUUUGACUAAGGUCACAGAGAACGUAAGCAGUAGAGUUGAAAUCCACAUCAGUCUUCUAUGGGAGCCAUGCCCCAACUCUCGACACGCCCGGAUGAAGAAGAAUGGAAAAGAGAUUUGAUCUCUGUGCCUAUUAACCAUGCCAAUAGAAGGUUGUGUGAAAAACGAAGCUAUUGGUAGAAGUUUGGGAAAAAAUCUAGUGAUUAGACCAGCAGAAGAUCUGAACUUCGGAGAAGACCACAAAUGAAUUAAAAGACCAGUUCUCUUUUCAAAAGCUAACACGAAAUGAGGAUGGGUUUUAUACAAAAGCAGCUGCUCCUGCCAGUGAGCUUAUGCAUGUCUGUCUUUCAUAUGCCACAGUCAGACCUAGGAAAUUCCCUGGGAAGUCCCCUCUACCACAGUGCUUGCCGUUUCUCCAUUUGACUAUGAUUCUAUUGACUCUUGGGAGAUUGAUCUUCAGGAAGCUCUUAUCACAAAACAGCUCUUCCUGGAGUGAGGAGAGAGCAUGGUACCUGGGAAGACAAAGGGAGUGGACUGGGACAUGGGAAUCUGGUUUCCAUUUUAGUUCUACAACUAGCAGCCUGGUGGCUUUAGGAGGAGCCUGCCAUUUCCCUGGCCUCAAUGGUUUCAUCUGUAAAUUGGAACGGCCUGGAGAUGAUAAAAGUGAAAGCAUCCAUUACCAUGCCUGGAAGUGCUCAAGAAAUGAUUCUUUCCUGCCUGCUGACUUCCAUUUUCCAUCUGUAAGAGCAAAGAGGAGAAGAGGCACAGGAAUUCCCAGGUAA
rnacentral:lncRNA from 1 species